rnacentral:rRNA from 1 species
AUUGCCGAAGGAACGGCCCGCGUCCGAUUAGCUUGUUGGUGAGGUAAUGGCUCACCAAGGCGACGAUCGGUAGCUGGUCUGAGAGGAUGACCAGCCUCACUGGGACUGAGACACGGCCCAGACUCCUACGGGAGGCAGCAGUGGGGAAUAUUGGACAAUGGGCGCAAGCCUGAUCCAGCCAUGCCGCGUGGGUGAUGAAGGCCCUAGGGUUGUAAAGCCCUUUCGGCGGGGAAGAUAAUGACGGUACCCGCAGAAGAAGCCCCGGCUAACUUCGUGCCAGCAGCCGCGGUAAUACGAAGGGGGCUAGCGUUGCUCGGAAUUACUGGGCGUAAAGCGCACGUAGGCGGAUUGUUAAGUCGGGGGUGAAAUCCUGGAGCUCAACUCCAGAACUGCCUUCGAUCUGGCGAUCUCGAGUUCGGGAGAAGUGAGUGGAACUGCGAGUGUA